UCAGAAAUGAGAACAGUCAAUAUAAUACCAGCAAUAUUCUAAAAUCGGUGAUCAAAAAGCAUGCUGCCUUCAUUAGUUCCUGUAGUCUUGUUUAAUUAUUUUUUUGUUCCAUUGGCUCUUGGGUCAACCAUUGGCUUUUAUGAAGUCAUAAAACAGUCCUGGAACACCACACACGGCCUCUAAUAUCAUCUGGCAAUUGUCUAAGAAAUAUCACCUUGCAAGCCUGCAACAGGGCAUCCGUUACUUGAUGUUGCCAUCAAACUCAGUUCAGUUGUUUCCACAAGGUUCUGAGACUGUUCUUGGUUGAAGACGCAGUUGCUGCUGUGACUUGAAAGAUUUUAUAUAAAUGUGAGGAGGAGCAGGAACUACCUGUUGAUGAUAAGACUGAAUGGCUGUAGUUAAUUUAUUACAUAUCCAACAAUAUCUAAGGAAGGAGAGUAUCAUCUCCUGUCAGGGUAGGAUGUUUAACUGUUUAAUUAACAUUUUACCUGGAACUUCCCUCAUGGCUCAGUGGGUUAAGGAUCCAGCAUUCUCACUGCUGUGGCUCUGGUUACAGCUGUGGCUCAGGUUCAAUCCCCAGCCCGGGAACUUCUGCAUGCCACAAGUGCGACCAAAAAAGCAAACAUUUUACCUUGACAGAAUCAAUCAAAGGAAGGCUGACUUUUUCUUGUAAUUUGACAGUUCUUGCGAUGCAAGAAGGCUGUGGAGCUGUAACCCUUUCCUGGCCUGACUCUGCCAGAAAGUGUGGGCAGAGCGGGCAUGUUCCAUUCUGGCGGUGGAGGAAAGAGUGGCACAGAUCCUUCCAGCAGGGCAUGCUAAAGAGGAAAUAACAGCUUCCCUCCAGCUGAGCUAUUUGGAACAGUAGAAAAAUAGUCUACAAUGAUUUCCUCUUCUCAAAGGGUGAUUUCAACCUGAGGGCUAGAUUCGGGGAAAAAAGUCCUGGGUUGACAGACGGUUGUCUAAUUCCAUUCCUUAUCAUGCGUGGAGUUGGGGUAAUGUGCUUAAAGGGGAACAGGAGGUGGUGCAAAGAGCUGGGAUCAAGAACUCUUCCUCACAGUGAUGUCUCAGUGGAAAAAUCCUGAAAGACUCCUGCUGCAGAGGCUCCUGGCAAAAUAGAGAUUUAUCGUUGCAUCCAGGAAGGAACGUUUUUCUUUAAUGCCUAUUGUGUUACAGGGUGAAGGCCUUGGGCUUGCAAACUUGAAAUUUGAAAGCAGGUCAUGUUAACAUUUCUGUACGAAUUCAGUUUCACUUGCUUAUUGUUCAGCACUACGUUAGGGUCAGAAAUUAAACAUGUCAAGGAACAUUUUAUUUUUGGGGCCUUGUUGCUGGGCCUCUAAAUGUCUUGAUCUAAAAAAAUAAUAAUAAUAAAAAAUAAAAGUUGGAAAUUAAGUUGGCAACUGCAUCCAAGAAGAAAAGUGUAUGUAUCAGGAUUCUGGAAAUAACUACUGACUUUGGCUUUGAACUUGGGUUCCUCUUCUAUGAGUUCAGCUCUGGGAAAGUAGACCAUAGGUUCCCCUGAUCAUUCUGAAGUCCUUCAGAAUGGGAAAAGCUGAUGGUGAAAAGAGAGAGAAGGGUAAACUGAGACAGAGGGUAGCCAGGAUCACAGCUGGUGUCCAGGGAAGGGGGCGAUAGAGGGUUUUCUGGAAAUGAAUGGCUUUGGCAGUUCACUCAAAUGGCAUUCUUCUCCUGCCCUUAUGUUUUAUUUAUAAAUUAAUACCCAUUCUUAUAUAAAAUCCAAAUAUUAUGGCAAAAAUGUCUCAUUCCCAGUUCUAUGAGCUUUCUGUUGCCUAUGCUUCCAAUUAUUUUUAUAUAUCUAUGCUAAUGUACUUUUAAAAUUGUACUCAUCCAAAAUCAGGAUCAUAGGCCAUGUAAUGUUUUUUUCACUUGGCUGCACCUAUGACAUGCAGAAGUUCCAGGCCAGAGAUUGAACCUAUGCCACUGCAGUAACCAGAGCCGCUUCAGUGACAACACCAGGUCCUUAACCCACUGAGCCGCCAGGGAACUCUGCUAUGUAAUGUUUUGUGCCCUGCCUUUUUUUGUGUUUUAUAGGCAUGUUUGUAUGGAGGGUCACAUCCAUCUGUCUCUCUCUCUUCCCCCCACUCCUUCCACUUGACCACCUCUCUCUUGCCUGCCAGUUCUGUUUCCCUGAAUCCAGACUUAAAUAUGUAAUGACCGCCCAGCGUUUCUCUUGGGAUGCCCAGAGUCAUAUCAGAAUUUUCCAAAUGAAACUCCUAAUCUACCCCCAAAUCUCUGCCUUCCUCCUGCAGUAUCUGCAUCUUAGUCAGUGGCCGCUCCGUAUUUUGAUCUGCUGAAGUUAAAAAAAAAAAAAUCUUCCUCUCACAAGUCACACAAAAUUAUCGUAUUAUGUCUUUCGAAUAGCUUUUCAGAUAUAUCCAAAUGUUUCACUGUAGUUGAUUUACAGGGUCGUGUUAGUUUCUGGUGUACAGCAAAGUGAUUCAGUUACACAAAUGUAUAUUGUUUUUCACAUUCCUUUCCAUUAUCGUUUAUCACAAGAUAUUGAAUAUAGUUCCCUGUGCUAUACGGUAAGUUCUCGUAAUGUAUCUAUUUUAUGUAUAAUAGUUUGUAUCUGUGAAUCCCAAAUUCCUAAUUUAUCCUACCCUCUCCCUUUCCCCUUUGGAACGAUAAAUUUGUAUUGUAUGUCUCUGAGUGAGUCAGAGUUUGUUUCGUAAAUAAGUUUAUUUGUUUCAUAUUUCACAUCCCACAUAUAAGUAAUAUCAUAUGAUUUUUGUCUUUGACUCACUUCACAGUGGUCAUCUCUAGGUCCAUCCAUGUAGCUGCAAAUGGCAUGAUUUUGUUCUUUUUUACAGCUGAGUGGUUUUCCAUUGUAUACAUGUACCACAUCUUUAUACAUAAAUUUGUUGGUGGACAUGUAGGUUGUUUCCAUGUCUUAGCUUUUGUGAGGAGUGCUGCAGGGAACAUGAGGGUGCAUGCAUCUUUUCAAAUCAUGGUUCUCAUUUUUUCCAGCUAUAUGCACAGAAGGGAAAUUGCACAAUCAUAUGGUAGUUCUAUUUUUAAUUUUUUGAGGAAGCUCCCUGCUGUUUUCCAUGGUGGCUGCACCACUUUACAUUCCCACCAACGCUGUAGGAGGGUUUCCUUUUCUCCACAACCUCUCUAGCAUUUGUGAUUUGUAGGAAUUGUAAUGAUGCCCACGCUGACCAGUAUGAAAUGACACCUCACUGGAGUUUUUAUUUGCAUUUCUCUAAUAAUUAGCAGUGUUGAGCAUCUUUUCAUGUGCCUAUGGGCUGCCGCAUCUCCUCUUGAACCACUGCUUCCUCAGCUCCAGGUACACAGACCCCCGUGAACCCCUCAAAUGUGCCCUCACAUCCUGCCUCAGCCUGGGCCAUCUUCCCAGGCACCUACAUGGCUCCCUCCGUCUGCCACCUUUCAAUGGCUGCACACGUGACCUUCUCAGGAAACCAUCCCCAGCACUUCUGAUCUCUCUUUCCUCCUUUAUUUUUCUCUAUACCAUUUAUCACUUUCUAAUACAUUAGAUGUAAUUUCCUUACCUGUUCUUUUAUGGUCUGACUUGCCCAACUAGAAUGGAAGGUACGUGAGGGCUUUUUGUCUGAAUUUGCAGCAAUAGUUUGUUUGAGUCUACCCCAUUCUUUUUAAAGCAUUGUCCAUGACAUAGAUACACCAUAGAUUAUAAUGUUCAAAAGGAGAAAAAGAUUCAUGGUGACAAGAGAUCAUCUGUAGGAGGUACUUAAUUAAUAUGCAUAUUAAGUCCUUGAUGUGUAUGUUUAAUUCUUCUAACAACCAAAUGAUGUCUUUGGUGUUGCUGGUGAGAACAUUUGGGAUUGGGAGCUUUUCAGUACCUCGCCUGAGGCCGCACAGCUCAUCAAUGAAGGAGGAGGGGUUUGAAGUCUUUCCUAGAUGAGCGCUCUUACCCUCAUGUUAUACUGUGUUUGUAACCUGAACUGAAUGUCCAUUGAGAGGGCAGGCUUCCUUUGGAAAACAGAGACAGGCAAAAACAACCCACACUCGUCCCUUCCGCAUUUUAACCUACAUUUCCCCAUGCUUUCAGUGCUCAGAGGAUGCUCUCCUUCACCGAGCCCGUGGCCCUUCCCCCUCUGAUGGAAUUUAUCCAAGGUCAGAGCAUCCCUCUCCCACCCAUUUUCUCUUCUUUCUUUCUGGAAGCCCCCUUAGUUCUCUGAAGUUUACCGAAAGCCUGGCCUGGGCUCAUUCCACACCACCGUACCACACGUUCCUGAGAGCCACAAGUUUCCCACCUUAGAGAUAAAAAUUCAUUUGUAAUCUGUCCUGAAGCCCAUGUUCUUCCGUUGCCCUGCUCUGAAUUGCUGUGAGGAGAAAAGACAGCCUUACAAUACGAAAUAAAUUGAAAUGAUAAUGAAAGAGAGCAAGCAGCUGCCCACCCCCGCCCCCCAACCCCAGCAAACCAACUGCUUAGUAAACUCUUAGUAGCCUCUUCCUUCCCAGAGCCAAGUGUUACAGUGGGAGCCCAGGCCUUGGCGGAGGGGUGAGCGGCUCAGGCUAGCAGGUGUAGUGAGAAUUAAAUGAGCUCAAUUGUAACAAUCAAUGUAGUUAGGGCCCCCAGAUACAGCUGUUGUAUCCUCAUCUUGAUGACGAUCCUGUUUAGCAACUCAAGAGUGGCAAUCAGAGAUAAAGGAGGCUGGAUGUCCCUUGGAUUACCUAACAUCAGGACUAUAUCAGGAUGCCAGCGAAAACUCAGCAUAAGCGCUUGUAUAGAUAUAUCGAAAUAGACAUUAAGAUGGCUCGAGAGUGUAGCCACAACAAAAACAGCGAGUCAGCUCUCUUCAGACUGAGGGCAACGACAGAGAAGAGAGGUCUGAGACGGUUCCAGUCACGGCGGUGUCCUGAGGCUGAAACGGGGUGUUCCUCUCCUAGGGUCAGGGCUGACUUGCCCAACUAAAGAAGGAGCUUUAUGGCCAGCGACAGUAGAUCUUACACAGCAGAGGUUCUGCUUGGGAUUCUCAUUAUUUCAAGACCUACAGUGAGCUCAAAAAAGAAAUUGUUUCAGAACAAUUUAGGGGAAGUUCUGAGAGGUGGAGGCGCCAGGACAUUGAGGCUGCAGAGAUGAUGAGGAUAGUGGUGGGUCCAUAGAAUGUAACAGCUCCUGCUUUCAGAUUUCCUGGUGGUGCAGCUCAUGCUGGGGACAGGUCCUUCAUAUUUGGUGUAAGGAACCUGCAGCUUCCAUGCUAUUUAUCUGCCUGGGAAUCUCAGGAAGGCAGCCUAGAAAGUGUCUAUUUAUUUUGGCAUCCUUGGCCUGGCUAUGCUUUGUCCAAGCUUGUCUGAGGCUAACGCCCAAGUAAGUCCUGGGCAUCCCAUCCUAGCAGGGGAAGUGAGUGUCCCCAGCUUCUAAAAUCACCUGGGCAGGGGACCACGGAGGUGAUGAAACCAGAUUUAGAAGCUGAAUGUCAGAGACCAGAAAAUUAGUGCUGACAAGGGGUUUGAUCAGAAUUGUGAUUAUAGG
rnacentral:lncRNA from 1 species